GAUGAACGAUGGCGGAGGGAAGAAAAAAGGAAAAUCGAGACACCAGACGAGGAGCUUGGUGAGAUCAAGUUAGCGGCGGACGGGUGAAUAACACGUGGAUAACCUACCUAUAAGACUGGGAUAACUUACGGUAACCGGAGCUAAUACCUGUACAUAUAUUGACACGCAUGGUUCAAUAGUGAAAGACGGUUUUGCUGUCACUUAUAGAUGGAUCCGCGCCGCAUUAGCUAGUUGGUAAGGUAACGGCUAACAAAGGCAAGGAUGCGUCGCCGACCUGAGAGGGUCCUCAGCCACACGGGAACUGAGACACGGUCCAGACUCCUACGGGAGGCAGCAGUAGGGAAUCUUCCGCAAUGGGCGAAAGCCUGACGGAGCAACGCCGGUGGAGUGAUGAAGGUCUUCGGAUGCUAACCCUCUGUUCGUAUGGAAGAACAAAUGGCUAAUUAACUAUACACGUCUUGACGGUACCUAAUCAGAAAGCCUCGGCUACUUACGUC
rnacentral:rRNA from 1 species